rnacentral:miRNA from 1 species
CGUAAACAUCCUCGACCGGAAGC